GACGAACGCUGGCGGCGUGCCUAAUACAUGCAAGUAGAACGCACAGUUUAUACCGUAGCUUGCUGCACCAUAGACUGUGAGUUGCGAACGGGUGAGUAACGCGUAGGUAACCUGCCUGGUAGCGGGGGAUAACUAUUGGAAACGAUAGCUAAUACCGCAUAAUAUUGAUUAUUGCAUGAUAAUUGAUUGAAAGAUGCUAUUGCAUCACUACCAGAUGGACCUGCGUUGUAUUAGCUAGUAGGUGAGGUAACGGCUCACCUAGGCGACGAUACAUAGCCGACCUGAGAGGGUGAUCGGCAACACUGGGACUGAGACACGGCCCAGACUCCUACGGGAGGAAGAAGUAGGGAAUCUUCGGCAAUGGACGAAAGUCGGACCGAGCAACGCCGCGUGAGUGAAGAAGGUUUUCGGAUAGUAAAGCUCUGUUGUAAGAGAAGAACGGGGGUGAGAGUGGAAAGUUCACACUGUGACGGUAUCUUACCAGAAAGGGACGGCUAACUACGUG
rnacentral:rRNA from 1 species